rnacentral:lncRNA from 1 species
AUGCAUGUGAAAUGGCUUGGAUCUGAUAUUUCCUUUCCUCUAAGUAAGAACACAUCUCUUGAAAAGAUUUGGUGCAGUCUUGCCAAAGAAGGAAGCAGGAAACUCAAGCCAGCCUGGAGUUUUGUGAGCCAUGGAAAACUGGCUAAAUUCACCAUGAAAAUAAUUUGGAAACAUGAAACCCCCUGUCAUGGCGGCCUCCGCAGGCGCGCAAGGGCUUGCUGCGUGCGGUUCCUCCUGCGGCCCCGGGGCUCGCCCGAGCCAGGGUGCUCCCAAGCCUUCCUGAGCCGACCCCUCAGAUUGGACUGA